AUAGGUUGAAGUUUAGCUGUUUAGUCGAGAGGGAAAAGGCUUCCGGUUAAAAAACUUUGCAAUUUUAUUUUCUGCAGCAUGUUUGUGGAGUUGGAUCCAAUAAUCACAUUCUACAGCAAACAAGAAAGAGAUAGAUCGUAUUCAGUUGAAAAUCCGUCUUCGAUGAUGGCGCUGAUGUAUGUUUUAUCCCUAAUUUCUGUUACAUUUUGUUAUUAAUUUGUGUGAAUUUAUUGUUGAUAGUUGCAAUUUACAUAUUUGCCAUUCAAUAUUUCACACAAAUUGGGGAGAAGGUGUCGGGGAAGUUAAUCAAGCGUGCAGAAAACGAGAAUUGUGAUUUUUGUCAAGCAGCGAUUUUUGAUGGUUAUAAGCUGCGUUUGUGAUUGCCGGUUUUUAGUGUUGUUCCGGCGUACAUCCAUCAUGGUAGAAGGGGCCCGAGUCCGACUUAGUGGUUGGCAACAGGCGGCAGUUGCUCUUGUGUCUGCAGUUCGUGCAUUAGUGGACCCAAGGAGAGCCGAUUUGAUCGCUGAUCUGGGGGAGACAACUGGGAAACCGGCUUUUGAGAGGGUACUUGAAAGAAUGAAAAGGAAUCCUAAAGGCAUAGAAGUACUACUGUACUACUGGACCGUCCACGUGUCAUCUCCAACAAUGUGGGCCACGCAUGGGACCUACUAGAAAACACAUUUGGUGCUGCAUGCGCGAAGUUCAUGGGAUCAUGAAACUUCUCACCAGACGAUAGACCACCAGUAAGAUUUAUGGAAACAGAAGAACUCGCAUACGUAGCAAUGCGCGCGCGCGAAGUGCAUGAUUUCUGGCACCCCCUUUUUGGUCUUCCAACAAAUUUGAUUGUUCGGGCAGGUAUGAAGGCAACUGACUUGAUGUGUGUUUAUUAUGAGAAACAUUUCAUGAAGAUUUAGAGGAAGUUAGGCAGAGAUGGGGUAUUAUACCUGCUCCUUCCAUUCAAGGGUAAUUUGGGAAAUAAAUGUUUAUUCAAGGGUUUUUUGAGUUAUCAGAUACAUACUUUUGAUCUGACAUGGAAUGAUGAAACUAUAGUGCAAGUAAUUAAGUGUAUAAAAACUAAAAGAAUCAUUUACAACAAAGAGUGGGGCAUAGAAUGUUCAAAAGAGAUUAACGUAAUCAUCGACGGGUUAACAUAAAACAACGGGUCAAAGAUUACGAGUACAAAGAUCGAAAAAGUUUUAGGCAAAUUUCAUUGGAGCAUAAGUAGUGCAUAGGAGUGCACAUCAUUACAGUAGUUGUAAAACUUGAACACUAUGAACUAGCUUCAUCCAAGUCACCAAUUAAAGUUUGGGUUGGUCGGGUUCGGGUUUUUCGGGUAUUCGCUAAUUCGGGUUCGGGUGACUUUUAAUUCGGCCUGGUCAUUAAGAUGCUGGAUACGAGCUCCAUAUUAGAUUCUGAAUUGGAUUUUAGAGACAAGAAAUUUGAUCGCUACCAAGCAUACUUAACCGAGUCUAACAUUGCAAGUCAUGAAUAGGUCAUACUACCACCAAGUCAUGAAUAGGUCACUUGCAUAUCAUUGAUGGAAGUAAGGUCAGCCAUUGACUCAGUGAAAAGAUGUAAAAAAAGGUGAAUUCUUGAAUCGAAGCCGCUUGACGCGUUGGUAUUUUUUUCAAGGAAAUGCAAUUAGUUCUUGAGCUCUUGAAGGUAAGUUCUUCAAGUCAAAUUGUUUGACUAAAACGUACACAAGAACACUAAAACAUGAGUGAUUUGGGGGCCAAAUUGUAUGCAAGUAACCUGAAAUUUUAGGGGCAAAGAAACAAAACCUAAAUGACUUUGAGAAGUGAUUGACAAAAAGGAAAUAAACUGAAUAACAAUAUUACUAUUUUUCCGUUACCAUUUUCAAAGUCUGAAUCAAAUCUUAAAAUUUUGUAUAGCAGUCAGCUGUCAUGCCUGUUUGAAGUUGUAGAUUGCUUCAUGUUCAUCGAUUUGGGCCUGCUCAUGUUGUUGAAAAAGUCAUAUGGGUCUUCAGUAAUGUGGAUGUUCUUAAACCGUCGAAACCCACCAACCCGUCUAAACGCAAGAACGUCGGCUGGUUCAAAAUACUUUAAAUUAUUUGGUUUGGAUUUGACAGAUCUGUAAGUUGCCUGAGAUAAGGAAAGGGGAAGGCGGAGAUGGUAGGGUGUUGAUCAGAUCAAGCGGGUCAAAAAAUGUAAACAAUUAAUGCUAUUAAAAACAUGUCCGAUUUUUUUUACUUUUUUUUUAAUUUUUUGGAUUUUUUUAAAUUUUAAUUUUUUUCUUUUUUUUAUUUUAUUAACAUUUUUUUACCUUUUACAUUUUUUUCUGAUUUUUUUGUUUUUUUAUUUUUAUUUUUUGUAUUUAUUAAUUUGAUAUGUUUUAUUUUUGUCUGUCAUCAUUGAAAGUCGAUCAAUAUUUACCCAAACUCAUCUUAACCUUUAAUAAACCCAUCCUAACCUUUUUCUUAAAAAACCCAUCUUAACCCAAACUCAUCCUAACCUAUACCCAUCCUAAUCCAUUACCCAAACCUGCCCAACCCAUCGCUUUUGCCACCCCUACCAUAUAGUGACCGUUUACGUCCAACUCUUUAUCACAAUGUCAGUGUUUAAGUUGGGAUAUCUAUUACUACUUGAAUGUUUAAAGCCUUAACGAAACGCUAACUGCAGGUACUUAGCAAAGAUACCUGAGGGUUCAAAAGACGUUGCAAUUGGACAACCCAUUGCAAUAACAAUAAGUAUCUGCUGUUACAAAAGUGUAACAAUACUAAUUAUCAAAUAAUGAACAAUUGUGCCUUUUGUACCAAUAAUUAAAGCCGCAUAGCCAUUUUCUUAUAUUGCUUUCCAAUCAACUAAAAUGAAGAGCUUACAAAAUGGGUGGGUUGGAUAACACACUUAUGUCAAGUUGGGUUGAUCCUGCUUAUAAACGCUAUUUUUUCUUCCCUUUUAUUGAAUUUUACAAAUUUAGAUGCUGAUAUAAUUUUGAAAAGAAAACAAUUUGGGAUGUUUUAGGCAUUUGAAUACGUAUUCUUCGUUCAAUAUGUUUCCAUAUUAACCAAUUCUUAACGUUUUAUACACUUUGACCAGUUAGAGGCCAAGUAUAACUCAAAUUUACUUAUUUAGCCUUAAUCUGGUUGAAAUUGUGGCCUCUAUCAAAAUGUAAUAAUUAUUAAGAACACAUUGGAACUAAUGUUACUAUUUUGCAAGGUUGAGGAUCCAGCUGAAGUUGAGGUGGUACAGACACAUGUUAGUGGCAAUUUAGUAGCUAAGGAGGCAAAGCCAGCUCCGCAUGCUACCCAUGCUACCCAAGACAAAGAAGUUAAAGGACAAAGUCCAACUUUUCUAGAAUAAGUCCACCUGGAAGUUACUACUUGCACAAGAGAAAUUAGAUGCUUCGUUAGUAAUGGCAUGUGUGUAACAACCGCCAAAAAAUAGAUCUCUGAAAUCCUAACCGGAUCUUGCAAAAAUUGGAUCCAACGAAAAUAAAUAAAAAUAGUAAAUAAACAUGUAUUUUUUAUUAAAAAGACUAUCCUUAAAUUUUUGGUUGGUUCUUUUUGUAGAAGGGACUCAAUUUACUCAAGGAAAGGUUUUGACAACUCAAGGAUAUGCAUCUUUAAAAGGACACGACUAUCUUUAAAUUGUAUUUUCCCUUUGUCACCAACUUAUGUAAUAUGGCAUUUAUAAAUGAUAAUAUUUACUUAAGUUGUUAUUGUUAA